rnacentral:rRNA from 1 species
UGAUGGAGGGGGAUAACUACUGGAAACGGUAGCUAAUACCGCAUAACGUCGCAAGACCAAAGUGGGGGACCUUCGGGCCUCAUGCCAUCAGAUGUGCCCAGAUGGGAUUAGCUAGUAGGUGGGGUAACGGCUCACCUAGGCGACGAUCCCUAGCUGGUCUGAGAGGAUGACCAGCCACACUGGAACUGAGACACGGUCCAGACUCCUACGGGAGGCAGCAGUGGGGAAUAUUGCACAAUGGGCGCAAGCCUGAUGCAGCCAUGCCGCGUGUGUGAAGAAGGCCUUCGGGUUGUAAAGCACUUUCAGCGGGGAGGAAGGCGUUAAGGUUAAUAACCUUGGCGAUUGACGUUACCCGCAGAAGAAGCACCGGCUAACUCCGUGCCAGCAGCCGCGGUAAUACGGAGGGUGCAAGCGUUAAUCGGAAUUACUGGGCGUAAAGCGCACGCAGGCGGUCUGUCAAGUCGGA